rnacentral:rRNA from 1 species
AUGAACGCUAGCUACAGGCUUAACACAUGCAAGUCGAGGGGCAGCAUGAACUUAGCUUGCUAAGUUUGAUGGCGACCGGCGCACGGGUGAGUAACACGUAUCCAACCUGCCGAUGACUCGGGGAUAGCCUUUCGAAAGAAAGAUUAAUACCCGAUGGCAUAGUUCUUCCGCAUGGUAGAACUAUUAAAGAAUUUCGGUCAUCGAUGGGGAUGCGUUCCAUUAGGUUGUUGGCGGGGUAACGGCCCACCAAGCCUUCGAUGGAUAGGGGUUCUGAGAGGAAGGUCCCCCACAUUGGAACUGAGACACGGUCCAAACUCCUACGGGAGGCAGCAGUGAGGAAUAUUGGUCAAUGGACGAGAGUCUGAACCAGCCAAGUAGCGUGAAGGAUGACUGCCCUAUGGGUUGUAAACUUCUUUUAUACGGGAAUAAAGUGAGGCACGUGUGCCUUUUUGUAUGUACCGUAUGAAUAAGGAUCGGCUAACUCCGUGCCAGCAGCCGCGGUAAUACGGAGGAUCCGAGCGUUAUCCGGAUUUAUUGGGUUUAAAGGGAGCGUAGGCGGACGCUUAAGUCAGUUGUGAAAGUUUGCGGCUCAACCGUAAAAUUGCAGUUGAUACUGGGUGUCUUGAGUACAGUAGAGGCAGGCGGAAUUCGUGGUGUAGCGGUGAAAUGCUUAGAUAUCACGAAGAACUCCGAUUGCGAAGGCAGCUUGCUGGACUGUAACUGACGCUGAUGCUCGAAAGUGUGGGUAUCAAACAGGAUUAGAUACCCUGGUAGUCCACACAGUAAACGAUGAAUACUCGCUGUUUGCGAUAUACAGUAAGCGGCCAAGCGAAAGCGUUAAGUAUUCCACCUGGGGAGUACGCCGGCAACGGUGAAACUCAAAGGAAUUGACGGGGGCCCGCACAAGCAGUGGAGUAUGUGGUUUAAUUCGAAGCAACGCGAAGAACCUUACCAGGGCUUGACAUCCUACUAACGAGAUAGAGAUAUGUUAGGUGCCCUUCGGGGAAAGUAGAGACAGGUGGUGCAUGGUUGUCGUCAGCUCGUGUCGUGAGAUGUUGGGUUAAGUCCCGCAACGAGCGCAACCCCUAUUGUUAGUUGCUACGCAAGAGCACUCUAGCGAGACUGCCGUUGACAAAACGGAGGAAGGUGGGGAUGACGUCAAAUCAGCACGGCCCUUACGUCCGGGGCUACACACGUGUUACAAUGGGGGGUACAGAAGGCAGCUACACGGCGACGUGAUGCUAAUCCCGAAAGCCUCUCUCAGUUCGGAUUGGAGUCUGCAACCCGACUCCAUGAAGCUGGAUUCGCUAGUAAUCGCGCAUCAGCCACGGCGCGGUGAAUACGUUCCCGGGCCUUGUACACACCGCCCGUCACACCAUGAGAGUCGGGAACACCCGAAGUCCGUAGCCUAACCGCAAGGGGGGCGCGGCCGAAGGUGGGUUCGAUAAUUGGGGUG